AAUGAACGUUGGCGGCGUGGAUUAGGCAUGCAAGUCGUACGGGUCGGUGUAGCAAUACAACGGCAAGUGGCGAAAGGGAGAGUAACACGUAGAUACCUACCCUCUGGUCGGGGAUACCGCGGCAUAACCGCAAGUAAUACCCGAUAAAAUCUCCGGAUCAAAGGUGUGAUUCCGCCGGAGGAGGGGUCUGCGUUCUAUCAGCUUGUUGGUGAGGUAAUGGCUCACCAAGGCUAAGACGGAUACGGGGUGUGAGAGCAUGCCCCCGCUCACUGGGACUGAGACACUGCCCAGACACCUACGGGUGGCUGCAGACGAGAAUCUUCGGCAAUGGGCGCAAGCCUGACCGAGCGACGCCGCGUGCGGGAUGAAGGCCUUCGGGUUGUAAACCGCUGUCGAGGGGAAUGAAGUGCAAGUGAGUUAUCUCAUUUGUUUGACAGAUCCCUGGAGGAAGCAUGGGCUAAGUUCGUGCCAGCCGCCGCCGUAAUAC
rnacentral:rRNA from 1 species